GAUGAACGCUGACAGAAUGCUUAACACAUGCAAGUCGACUUGAACUUCGGUUUGUGUGGCGGACGGGUGAGUUACGCGUAAAGAACUUGCCUCACAGAUAGGGACAACAUUUGGAAACGAAUGCUAAUACCUGAUAUUAUGAUCGUAGGGCAUCCUAGGAUUAUGAAAGCUAUAUGCGCUGUGAGAGAGCUUUGCGUCCCAUUAGCUAGUUGGAGAGGUAACGGCUCACCAAGGCGAUGAUGGGUAGCCGGCCUGAGGGGGUGAUCGGCCACAAGGGGACUGAGGCACGACCCUCAAGCCUACGAGAGGCAGCAGUGGGGAAUAUUGGAGAAUGGACGAAGAGUCUGAUCCAGCAAUUCUGUGUGCACGAUGAAGUUUUUCGGAAUGUAAAGUGCUUUCAGUUGGGAAGAAAAAAAGACCGGUACCAACAGAAGAAGUGACGGUAAAAUACGG
rnacentral:rRNA from 1 species